rnacentral:rRNA from 1 species
CUCAGGAUGAACGCUGGCGGCGUGCUUAACACAUGCAAGUCGAACGAUGAAGCCCAGCUUGCUGGGUGGAUUAGUGGCGAACGGGUGAGUAACACGUGAGUAACCUGCCCUUAACUCUGGGAUAAGCCUGGGAAACUGGGUCUAAUACCGGAUAGGAGCGUCCACCGCAUGGUGGGUGUUGGAAAGAUUUAUCGGUUUUGGAUGGACUCGCGGCCUAUCAGCUUGUUGGUGAGGUAAUGGCUCACCAAGGCGACGACGGGUAGCCGGCCUGAGAGGGUGACCGGCCACACUGGGACUGAGACACGGCCCAGACUCCUACGGGAGGCAGCAGUGGGGAAUAUUGCACAAUGGGCGCAAGCCUGAUGCAGCGACGCCGCGUGAGGGAUGACGGCCUUCGGGUUGUAAACCUCUUUCAGUAGGGAAGAAGCGAAAGUGACGGUACCUGCAGAAGAAGCACCGGCUAACUACGUGCCAGCAGCCGCGGUAAUACGUAGGGUGCGAGCGUUAUCCGGAAUUAUUGGGCGUAAAGAGCUCGUAGGCGGUUUGUCGCGUCUGUCGUGAAAGUCCGGGGCUUAACCCCGGAUCUGCGGUGGGUACGGGCAGACUAGAGUGCAGUAGGGGAGACUGGAAUUCCUGGUGUAGCGGUGGAAUGCGCAGAUAUCAGGAGGAACACCGAUGGCGAAGGCAGGUCUCUGGGCUGUAACUGACGCUGAGGAGCGAAAGCAUGGGGAGCGAACAGGAUUAGAUACCCUGGUAGUCCAUGCCGUAA